UGGGGACCAUCUCCUUUUGGUGUUUUUACUAAUAAGAGUGAGUGAGGGCUACUUGGUUAGUAAACUAUUCUCAAAUGUCACAUUCUCACUCUGGUUUAUUAAGGUAGGUUUGGAAGUUAUCUCUGCCUCCAAAAAAGUAGAAUUUUCUUCUGGAUCCUUGUUAGAAAUAGGCUCAAAACUAGAUAUGUUAGCUGCUUGGUUUAUAAUCCAAAUGUAUCUCCUCUUUGUUCUUUUUGUCUAUCUGCGCCAGAUUCCAUUGAUCGCAUUUUUAUGCAGUGUUGUUCUACGUAUGAAGUUUGGAGAUUAGUUGCAUUCAGUUUGUACACCUCAGAACGCUACAGAAUCUCCCACUAGAUGUGUCCUUGUUUCUUUGGUCUAUUUGGCAUUCCCGUUACCAAUUAGUCUUUCAACAAUUGGUUGCUUCCCAGGACAAAACCCAAUUAUUGUAAAGGCCAAUCCUAAAUUACCUAAGCUAUAAGUUUCCAAGUAGUUUCAUACUAAACGGGAACAUCCUGAUGCUCCUCUUGUUAAACUCAAUUUUGAUGUUCAGUUCAAAAGGGAGAGGCUUCUAUAGGUUUUGUGCCUAGUAGGGAUGCUGAUGGUAACUCUCUUUGCGCAGCUGCUAAGAGGAUAGAAAACACAAAUGUCCUCAUUGCAGAAGCUACUGCCUUACGAUAAGGAUUGCAUACAGUUUCUUUACAACAACGUCCCCAUUUGUGGAAGGAAGUCCAAAGAUCACACACUAUUCAGAGAAUUAUUACAUAGUUUACCUAAAGCAGUGCAGUAUGUAUUGCCCUUUUAGUCUGCUUAAAAGAUUGCAACACCAAAACUAUGUAAUAUAUACUCUACAAUUUACCUAAUAACAAAGAUGUUAACAAGGUAGAUAGGUAACAAGUUCUGGCAUUCCUACAAGCAGAAAGAAGAUCUAAAUAAGAAAACUAAGUGCUAAAGUGAAUCAUCCCCCCGGUGACGCAAGACUCCAUAAUAUCUAAAGCCUAGACCCCAAGUCUUGGGUACCUGUUAUGGCUAUUUUGCACCAGAACAGAAAGAAAAGUAGUAUAUAUAACUCCACCGCAAUACUGGGCAAGUAACUAAAAGAGUAACGAUCACUAGGUAUACAACACGACACAACACAACAAGGGUUUUUGUGUUUUGAUGUAUCUGGUAGGCUGACACAAAUGGACAGUCAUUGAACCAAAAAAACUCAUUAGAAGCUUUCUAGUAUGAUCCCUAGAAGAUAGAUAGAUAUACUGAAAAGCCAAUAACCCUCAUCUGGUUCUCAAAUGUAUAACUCAAUUCCCACAUCACCAAAAACAUCGUUUUAACCACCAAAUCAGUAAAACUCACACUCCAUAGCUUCUUCAACAUAUUUCGAACUACAACUAAGCAAACUCGCAAAAGUAAUGCAAGAUUUCCUGAAAAUCCCAAUACAACCACUCUCAUCACUACCACAUGAUAUCAAACCCAUGGAUCCUUUAUAGUUUAUGAAUAAAACAAUAUCAAACUAGUGAACCCAUCAAAACCCAGAUCCUCCUAAAAGUGAGAACAAACCCUAUUUUUGGCACUAUGAAUUACAGUUCAGAAAAGAUGAUGGAAACAAUGUAAGAUGCUCCAAAGACAAUCAGUAGAUAAAUGUAUAACUUCUCUGAUGCAAAAUAAUAAGAAACAAUGCCAACGCAAAACAACAUCUUCUUUUCAACACAGAAAGAAGAUAUGAAUAAGAAAACCAAGUGAUGAAGUGAAUCAUCCCGUGGUGAAGUGGUGAUGCAAGGCUCCACAAUUUCCUAAAGCCUAGACCUAAUCACUUGAGUACCACUUAUGAUUAUUUAGCUCCAGUCCAGAAAGAAAAGUAGUAUAAAACUAUAAAUAACUCCACAUCAAUACUGGACAAGUAACACCACUUUAAACGAAGUAAUGGUUAUUAGUUAUACAACACAACUGAGUGUUUUGUUGUUUUGAUGUAUGAAUGUAUUUAGUUUGGUACAACUGGAGACACCUAUUCCUUGGACCUAGAUAACUGACAUUAAAAACUUUCUGGUAUGAUCUUCCUUAGAAAAUAGAUUUUGAAAAGCCAGUAAUCCUUAUCUGGUUCUCCUACUGUAAUCUACUACGAACUAAAUUCGCACUUCACCCAAAACACAACUGAGUGUUUUGUUGUUUUGAUGUAUAAAUGUAUCCAGUAGUUUGGUACAACUGGAGACACCUAUUCCUUGGACCUAGAUAACUGACAUUAAAAACUUUCUAGUAUGAUCUUCUCUAGAAAAUAGAUUUUGAAAAGCCAAUAACCAUCAUCUGGUUCUCCAACUGUAAUCUACUACGAACUAAAUUCGCACCUCACCCAAAACACCACUUCAACCACCAAAUCAUUGAAAUUCACACUCCACUUCAACCACCAAAUCGAAGGCAACUCAUAAAUUACAAUUUAAGAAACGAGAGAACUUUGAGAAAUUACCUGAAAUGGAAAUGGGUCUCUCAUCUUUCUCCCUUCUCUCUCUCACUCUCAACAAUAUUGUCUUUCCGUGGCAGCAAAACCAAUUAAUCCAAGGCAACAGAACUAAUAAAUCCAAUCCAAAGCAUGAAUUUUCUCCCUU
rnacentral:lncRNA from 1 species